GGGGUUGUGGCUCAGCGGUAGAGCACUUGCCUAGCACGUGCAAGGCCCUGGGUUCAAUCCUCAGCACCA
rnacentral:tRNA from 1 species